rnacentral:RNase_P_RNA from 1 species
AGUCGGUUGAACGACCGCGGGCACAAGGCGAAAGCCUGUGCGUGAGGAAAGUCCGGGCUCCACAGGGCAAGGAUAACGGGUAACGCCCGCCAGGGGUGACCCUCGGACAAGUGCAACAGAGAUAUACCGCCGGGAGGCUUGCCUUCCGGUAAGGGUGGAAAAGUGAGGUAAGAGCUCACUCGUCGCAUGGAGACAUGUGGACGCUGUAAACUCUAUCCGGAGCAACACCGUGGGAGAACACAUGGCCGGCCCGGCCGUUCUCAGGAGGUGGCUUGAACCUGCCGGCAACGGCAGGUCUAGAUAGAUGGUCGUUUUCAACAGAACCCGGCUUACAGACCGGCUCA